rnacentral:rRNA from 1 species
UCAGGCCUAACACAUGCAAGUCGAACGGCAGCACGGACUUCGGUCUGGUGGCGAGUGGCGAACGGGUGAGUAAUGUAUCGGAACGUGCCUAGUAGCGGGGGAUAACUACUCGAAAGAGUAGCUAAUACCGCAUACGCCCUACGGGGGAAAGGGGGGGAUCGCAAGACCUCUCACUAUUAGAGCGGCCGAUAUCGGAUUAGCUAGUUGGUGAGGUAAAGGCUCACCAAGGCGACGAUCCGUAGCUGGUUUGAGAGGACGACCAGCCACACUGGGACUGAGACACGGCCCAGACUCCUACGGGAGGCAGCAGUGGGGAAUUUUGGACAAUGGGGGCAACCCUGAUCCAGGCAUUCCGCGUGUGCGAUGAAGGCCUUCGGGUUGUAAAGCACUUUUGGCAGGAAAGAAAUCGCACGGGAUAAUACCUCGUGUGGAUG